ensembl:lncRNA
UAAAUAUUAGGGCUCCCUGUGAACUAUGGUGGCAGGAGGGGAUGUUGGUGAGCGUGGUGAGGAUUUCCUUCCUGGAGAUUGGAGCGUGAAUCCAGUGAGAGCUGUGACCAGUAUCCGAAAGGCGAGUUCAGUUAUAGUGUGGAACAGUGGUGUGAUGAGGAAGCUGCGGCACAUAGAAAUCAAGUUGGCCAUUAAGCACAUCUCCUCGGAGGAUACAAGGUUUAAAAACUGAAGGUGCACCUUGUAAUCUAUGAACCUCAAUGCUGAAGUUUGGAGAUCUACAAAGAGAAGUUGGACUGUCUACUCAGGGUAC